rnacentral:rRNA from 1 species
AGCGAACGCUGGCGGCAGGCCUAACACAUGCAAGUCGAACGAACUCUUCGGAGUUAGUGGCGGACGGGUGAGUAACACGUGGGAACGUGCCUUUUGGUUCGGAAUAACUCAGGGAAACUUGUGCUAAUACCGAAUGUGCCCUUCGGGGGAAAGAUUUAUCGCCAUUAGAGCGGCCCGCGUCUGAUUAGCUAGUUGGUGAGGUAACGGCUCACCAAGGCGACGAUCAGUAGCUGGUCUGAGAGGAUGACCAGCCACACUGGGACUGAGACACGGCCCAGACUCCUACGGGAGGCAGCAGUGGGGAAUCUUGCGCAAUGGGCGAAAGCCUGACGCAGCCAUGCCGCGUGAAUGAUGAAGGUCUUAGGAUUGUAAGAUUCUUUCACCGGGGACGAUAAUGACGGUACCCGGAGAAGAAGCCCCGGCUAACUUCGUG